GCCAUUCCAUUCGGCUGAUUAUUCAACUGCUGGUAGUUUUAUCCAUGAGGUUAGAAAUUUAGAAUUCAUUAUCAUUGCACUGUAGAUGGUUUAAAGGGAAGUACAGUUAAGCAUUUCAAUCUUGAAAAUGUUCUAGUGUGACAUUAACAGGAGUUCGUCAAAAGGCUGGAAAUACGCCCCCCAGUUAUGACGUCAAACUGCAGAUGGUAACUUCACAUAAUCAGUUCUUGUUUAAAUGUUGAAGGUGUUUCAGAAUGGAAAAAAGUGUCAGGAUUGGAUGUUAUCUGGGUUUUUACUAGCCACAAUAUCCAUCACUUCAUGCCAUCCGUUGAAGUAGGCCGGUCAUCAUGGCGGCACAUUUUACCAUCCCACUUCAUUGAAGAAACCCAACAACAUGUCGGAUCACCCAAAAGUUGGAUCAAUUCAAAAGUAAGCUGGAUAACAGAAUAUCUUCCAGGCGGUUCUGCUCUCACGGAAUGGUUCUUUAAUGCCAUCUGGAGACGAGUCAUUCAAACGCAUUCAAAGUCCCUCUUCUUACCUGAUCUCGUUCGGUGGUUCGGUUUUCCCGCAAAUAACCCACACGCUAAAAUGUAUCUCGACAAAAACUCGAGUAAAAAAGAUCUGAUGAUUCAAUAGCUCCGAUCCUGCACGCAUUUUUUUUUCCAAACCACACUUUCUUGGCAUUUCUCUUCAUCACGAGACACAAGUACAGAGAUGAAGUAAAAAAAUGUCUCGACAUUUUACUCGUGUCAAAUGCGGCUGUCAAAAUAAUUUCGGGGAAAUACGAAAAGUUUAUAAGGUGCCGCGUGGCUUUUAAGAAGUGAAAACGGUGAAAACUAAGAGAAAAAUCAUAAAUUGACCAAUGGAAAUCACGCUGUGGCCAAUAAACCUCUAGCUCUUGGCCAAGUUGCGAAAGACAACUGCAAUUAAUCAGUCCAGCACCAUUUUCCCUUUCGACGGCGUGUCGUUCAACUAAUGUGUAAGACGACUAACGGUAUCUCCGGACAAAGGUAAAAGAAGAAGCAGUUUAAACCAUUAGCAGUUCCAGAUAGUGCUGUUGCGGUGAGUUGUGUGUUAUUUUAAAUAGCGGAAAACCCGAGCGAGAAAGCGACUGGGAAAAAUAAGUUAUCUCAUUCCAGUACGAUAUAUGUCAGCCUGUUUCUGAUUGAACAACAAAGUAACUGACAGACCACAACUAGCACUAGACCUUUUGCAACAUGAAUUUUCUGACCAUGAGAAGCAGCACAGCUUGUCUGUUUUUACUUCAUCUUUCAAGCUGUUACGCUGGACCAGUCCGUUCGCUUCGUACGUCUGCAGUGAAAUUACACGAUUUCCUGAUGGCUAACAUCCAAGGAGUUGCUCGCAACGACCAGCCGAGUCAAAUACAAGAUUAUCUUAUUCCAAUUGAAGAGAAUAAUGGAGACCUUUCUGACACCACUAACGAACCUUUCGUAGACCAAUCGGCGUUUCAAGACUUUGACGUUCAAGAACCGGAACGGGUUACCCAUACUUUAACUUACUUCUCUUUGCCUGCUGUUUCUAAUGGUGGGACCGAACAGCCAGCAUUAUCAUUGGAUGCCAACGUCAUCCACAGCGACCUACCCAAUUCAGGUUCUAUUGGAACUGAUAUUCUAUCGGAUGUUCAAGAGCCAACACAGAACCUGGAAGAGCCUCAUUCCGAAAUUGUUGGCGAACAAGAGCCUGUUAUGGAUCAUAUGGUCGUCCAUAAAGAGUGCUGAGUUGCUGACAAGUAAAACCUCUAGCGACCCCAGAAUCGUCUGCUAGCUGAUAAGUUAGCACUUGGAAGAGUUAGCUCUGGACGUGCACUCAUAAUUCAACUUGUGGACUUGUGGUAGACGCAUGAGAGGUUCGUCCAAAGUGAGAAAAGAUGUUUUGAUGCGAUCUGCUGUUCUAUGCCGACCCUGCUGGGUGCGAGGGAUAUACCGCUGUUACGUGCUAACCCUACCCUAUUUUUACUCCUCACUAGGUUGAAAAUACUCCCCCAGUUUUGUCGUCAACCUACUCCAUGUGCUAACAUGACAUCAUCAGUUCUUGUUUCAAUGUGGAAGGAUUACUGUAAAGUAGCUGCCAAGGAGGAUAACAUGUCAGGAUUGGAUGUUAUUAGUUUUCUAGGGGUUUUUCCUUGCCACCAUAUCCGUCACUCCAAACCAUCCAUUGAAGUUGAAGCUGGUCAUCAUGGCGCGAUAUUUUACCACCCCACCCAUCGAACAGACCCAUCGAACAGACCCAUCGAUAGACAUGUCGCCUCAUCCAAAAAUGAGAAGCAGCACAGCUUGCCUGUUCUUACUUCAUCUUUCAAGCUGUUACGCUGGACCGGUCCGUUCGUCUCGUACUACGUUUGCAGUGAAAUUACACGAUGUCCUGGCUAACAUCCAAGGAGUUGCUCGCAACGACCAGCCGAGGCAAAUACAAGAUUAUCUUAUUCCAAUUGAAGAAAAUAAUGGAAACUUUUCUGACGUUUCAAGACUUUGACGUUCAAGAACCUGAAAUAGUUACCGACACUUUAACUUUCUUCUCUUCGCCUGGUGUUUCGGACGGGGCCAGCACUACCAUUGUGGGAUGCCAACGUCAUUCACAGCCACCUACCCAAUUCAGGUUCUAUUGAAACUGAGAUUCUAUCGGAUGUUCAAGAGCCAACACAGAACCUGGAAGAGCCUCAUUCCGAAAUUGUUGGCGAACAAGAGCCUGUUAUGGAUCAUCUGGUUGUCCUACCGAUAGAAACAACUGAUUAGCUCUAUCAUUUACCAACUGUUGCAGCACCUUCUGAUCCAGCGGAGCUUCUUCUAAUGUAUUCACUUGUGCGUGUCCCAACGGCUCCGUCAGCCACAUCCGCUACUGUGGCUGAUUCGCUUCUGGAAAUAAUGUUACCGUCCACGACAGAGAAAGUGGAAAUCAGUUCCUCACCUGAAUCUCUGUAUCAUUCAUCAGCCACUUCUGGACCGGAGCAAUGGAUCAGUGUCGACCCUCUUCCGCUGGAGUUGGAUCCAGCAAAGUCACAGACAACAUCGUCCUCCCUAAUCACCGAUUCCCAGCAGAUUAUCCAAGUUGAUCAACCCAAAUGUCAAUCAAACAUCUCGUACGAGCUCUUCACUACAGACAAUCCAAAUGGAAAAGAGAGCAACUCUUCCGGUCUUCCGUUCGGAACUCAUCGUUCUAAACUGAGGGAGCUGCGCUUUCCUCCUGUAUCAAACACGAAAGAAAAUUUUGGUGUUCAAAUCAAUUGGGAUGAAUUCAUGUAAUUGUGUUUCAAUCUGUCUGUGUGCAUUUUCAAAAUUCUCGCUUAAGCAACGAAAUGGAUGUGUAAACACGUUCAUUUCUAGUACUCACCGGUGUUGGGUCAUAAAGUUUUGCUAGUUGACACGAAUCACAUACUUCUUGAUGAAGUUUUCAUGUGCUAUAGUGUUUGUAGUUUUUCUCCUUAUUGCCUUUGCAAAUAUUAAAUGAGAAUUUUAAAAGA